CCCCUCUCAUGCUCACACCUGGAGAGUUUCCAAUACUCUGCCACUCUCGACUACGGGAGAGAGAGUCAAGCAGAGGUAUAUCCAUUCCAUUCCUAGCUUGGCCAGUGGUUAAUGAGUGGAAGACAAUCUGCUACAAAU